AGAAAGGUAAGCUAAGUAAGCUACUGGGUUCAUACCCCAUCUAUAGAGGGCACUCCUCUCCUCUCUA
rnacentral:tRNA from 1 species